UUUGCAUCUUGUAUUGAUUUGUGUUUUUUUCGGCUACAUGCAUGUACUGCCCUAUGGGCUGACUUGAGGCUGUAAUUUUUUUUUCACUGAGCUACUUGUGCAAAGCAGUUUUGCUUUGCUCUAUAAUUCUGUUGUAUGUUAUGGUCAAUUUCAUAACUGAUUUCUGUGGUUUUUGUGUUUUUGUUAAUGUAAUUUUCUUGUGCUUUGGUACAAUAUCUGCGGCUGACCUGUUUAAUUGCAAUGAGUGCAGGGUCUUGCUGUGGACAACAGUGUAUGGUCGUGCACUUGUUACGUACUACGUGAAUCAUGGGUAUCUCUUCGAUUAGUAAGGUACAUAUAGUGGCAU
rnacentral:lncRNA from 1 species